rnacentral:rRNA from 1 species
GACCCUACGGGAGGCAGCAGUGAGGAAUAUUGGUCAAUGGCCGGAAGGCUGAACCAGCCAAGCCGCGUGAAGGACGAAGGUGCCAAGCAUUGUAAACUUCUUUUGUCAAGGGACAAAAUCAGGCUCGAGAGCCUGACCGAGGGUACUUGAAGAAAAAGCAUCGGCUAACUCCGUGCCAGCAGCCGCGGUAAUACGGAGGAUGCGAGCGUUAUCCGGAUUUAUUGGGUUUAAAGGGUGCGUAGGCGGGCUGUUAAGUCAGCGGUAAAAGCCCGGGGCUCAACCCCGGUACUGCAUUUGAAACUGUC